UGGGGAAUUUUGGACAAUGGGCGAAAGCCUGAUCCAGCAAUGCCGCGUGUGUGAAGAAGGCCUUCGGGUUGUAAAGCACUUUUGUCCGGAAAGAAAUCCUUGGCUCUAAUACAGUCGGGGGAUGACGGUACCGGAAGAAUAAGCACCGGCUAACUACGUGCCAGCAGCCGCGGUAAUACGUAGGGUGCAAGCGUUAAUCGGAAUUACUGGGCGUAAAGCGUGCGCAGGCGGUUUGCUAAGACCGAUGUGAAAUCCCCGGGCUCAACCUGGGAACUGCAUUGGUGACUGGCAGGCUAGAGUAUGGCAGAGGGGGGUAGAAUUCCACGUGUAGCAGUGAAAUGCGUAGAGAUGUGGAGGAAUACCGAUGGCGAAGGCAGCCCCUGGGCCAAUACUGACGCUCAUGCACGAAAGCGUGGGGAGCAAACAGGAUUAGAUACCCUGGUAGUCCACGCCCUAAACGAUGUCAACUAGUUGUUGGGGAUUCAUUUCCUUAGUAACGUAGCUAACGCGUGAAGUUGACCGCCUGGGGAGUACGGUCGCAAGAUUAAAACUCAAAGGAAUUGACGGGGUCAUACUGUUUCCU
rnacentral:rRNA from 1 species